rnacentral:rRNA from 1 species
UACGGGGGGGGCAAGCGUUGUUCGGAAUUACUGGGCGUAAAGGGCUCGUAGGCGGCCAACUAAGUCGGAUGUGAAAUCCCCAGGCUUAACCUGGGAACUGCAUCCGAUACUGGAUGGCUUGAAUCCGGGAGAGGGAUGCAGAAUUCCCGGUGUAGUGGUGAUAUGCGUAGAUAUCAGGAGGAACACCGGUGGCGAAGGCGGGUCUCUGGGCCGAUACUGACGCUGAGGAGCGAAAGCGUGGGGAGCGAACAGG